UCUUCCUUAAUUCUCUUCCUAGUGUUGCGUUCUGGUAAUGUAGCAAAAUAUAAUUUUUAAAAUUUUUUAUGCAUUCAACUAUUGAAAAUAAGUUUAACAAUUAAACAUAACACCAGAAUAUAAAACCCUAGGAAUACCUUGAUGAUUAUAAUUAAACAAUAUAAGCAUGUAUAAUAACAAAGGAUCUGAAGUCAUAUACCAA
rnacentral:lncRNA from 1 species